rnacentral:rRNA from 1 species
ACACAAUAAGUAAUCCACCUGGGGAGUACGACCGCAAGGUUGAAACUCAAAGGAAUUGACGGGGGCCCGCACAAGCAGUGGAGUAUGUGGUUUAAUUCGAUGAUACGCGAGGAACCUUACCCGGGCUUGAAAUGCGGCGGACCGGCAGAGAGAUCUGCCUUCCCUUCGGGGCCGCCGUGUAGGUGCUGCAUGGUUGUCGUCAGCUCGUGCCGUGAGGUGUCGGCUUAAGUGCCAUAACGAGCGCAACCCUCAUCAUUAGUUACUAACAGGUCAUGCUGAGGACUCUAGUGAGACUGCCAUCGUAAGAUGCGAGGAAGGUGGGGAUGACGUCAAAUCAGCACGGCCCUUACGUCCGGGGCGACACACGUGUUACAAUGGGUGGUACAAAGGGCAGCUACCUGGCGACAGGAUGCUAAUCUCCAAAACCACUCUCA